GACAUAGGUGGCGAACGUUAUCCGGAAUUAUUGGGCGUAAAGAGCUCGUAGGCGGUCUGUCGCGUCUGCUGUGAAAACUCAGGGCUUAACCCUGAGCUUGCAGUGGGUACGGGCAGACUAGAGUGCGGUAGGGGAGACUGGAAUUCCUGGUGUAGCGGUGAAAUGCGCAGAUAUCAGGAGGAACACCGGUGGCGAAGGCGGGUCUCUGGGCCGUAACUGACGCUGAGGAGCGAAAGCAUGGGGAGCGAACAGG
rnacentral:rRNA from 1 species